GACGAACGCUGGCGGCGUGCCUAAUACAUGCAAGUCGAGCGCAGGAAACUGGCGGAACUCUUCGGAGGGAAGGCAGUGGAAUGAGCGGCGGACGGGUGAGUAACACGUAAGGAACCUGCCUCAAGGAUUGGGAUAACUCCGAGAAAUCGGAGCUAAUACCGGAUAGUUCAACGGACCGCAUGGUCCGCUGAUGAAAGGCGCUCCGGCGUCACCUUGAGAUGGCCUUGCGGUGCAUUAGCUAGUUGGUGGGGUAACGGCCCACCAAGGCGACGAGGCAUAGCCGACCUGAGAGGGUGAUCGGCCACACUGGGACUGGGACACGGCCCAGACUCCUACGGGAGGAAGCAGUAGGGAAUCUUCCACAAUGGACGAAAGUCUGAUGGAGCCACGCCGCGUGAGUGAUGAAGGUUUUCGGAUCGUAAAACUCUGUUGUAAGGGAAGAACACGUACGAGAGGGAAUGCUCGUACCUUGACGGUACCUUACGAGAAAGCCACGGCUAACUACGUGCCAGCAGCCGCCGUAA
rnacentral:rRNA from 1 species